CUCUCCCUCUGUCGGCAUGCUUAACACAUGCAAGUCGCACGGGCAGCAAUGUCAGUGGCGGACGGGUGAGUAACGCGUAGGAACGUGUCCUGAGGUGGGGGACAACCCCGGGAAACUGGGGCUAAUACCGCAUAUGGGCUGAGGCCCAAAGCCGAGAGGCGCCUUUGGAGCGGCCUGCGUCCGAUUAGGUAGUUGGUGGGGUAAAGGCCUACCAAGCCUGCGAUCGGUAGCUGGUCUGAGAGGACGACCAGCCACACUGGGACUGAGACACGGCCCAGACUCCUACGGGAGGCAGCAGUGGGGAAUAUUGGACAAUGGGCGAAAGCCUGAUCCAGCAAUGCCGCGUGGGUGAAGAAGGUCUUCGGAUCGUAAAGCCCUUUCGACGGGGACGAUGAUGACGGUACCCGUAGAAGAAGCCCCGGCUAACUUCGUG
rnacentral:rRNA from 1 species